rnacentral:tRNA from 1 species
AAGAGGUAUUAGUAAAAAUUACAUAACUUUGUCAAAGUUAAGUUAUAGGUUAAACCCCUGUAUAUCUC